GUGGAAGCAGGGAAAAAUGAAUCCAGCAAUUACUAUAUUUAGCUGCUUUUACAAAUGCCUCUUGGUUAAAAAAAAAAAAAAAAAGACAUUCAUUGGUAGACAUUACCACAUUGCCAAGUCACUCAUAAAUCUAAGUACGAAAGUCAGUAAAAAAGGAUGAUGUUAUCUGAUUCACUGAAAGGGAAAUAAGCUGAGAUCUGCUGCGUUAGGACAAAGGCCAGCUGGGCUUUAUGAGAAUUCAGAUGGCAAGGAACAAGCUUUUUAUGGCAAUGACAGAGGGAGAAGGGAACAAUAUUAUAAGGAAGAAUCUUUGUGGUUCAAACAGAUUAUGUGGUUUAUUAUUUUCAUUUAGAUUAGGGAAAAAAUCAGUGGGCACAGAAUAAAUAGCAACUGCCUCUUUCCCCCUCCCCAGCAAGCAGAAUAUUGAUUUCCUCUUUGAGGAAAGGACACAUUAAAAAGAAUACUCUUGAGAUGAUAAAUAUGCUAAUUAAUGUGAUCUAAUCCCUAUACAUUAUGUAUAUGGAAACACCACUAUGUACCCCAUGAAUGUGUACAAUUAUUGUCAAUUUAAAAAUACAAUUUUAAAAACACUCAUUUUAUUUUUUUAAAUUAAUUGUUCUUAUUUUAAAAAUUAUUAUUUUUUAGGGAUGGGAUCUCACUGCAUUGCUCAGGCUGGUCUCAAACUCCUGGGCUCAAGCAAUCUUCCUGCCUUAGCUUCCCAAAGUUCUGGGAUUACAGGCAUGAGCCACCACUCCCAGCCAAAAAAAAAAAUACUCAUUUAAAGCUGCACAAGUUUGAUGGCACAAGUCUGUAUAACUGGACCUGUGCCUUUAUAAAACCUCAAACACUGCAAAGGUUCAUGAAACAAUGUAUAUCUAUUCUUCUUAUUCACUGUCAUCAAUGCUGACCAGGGAAAAUUGCACAGGUGCACGUGUGUGUGUGUGUGUGUAGGGCUAGUGAAGCAGGCAACUACCAGAGAUACAUUAUUAAAAAGCUAACAUUUAUUGGCCAGGCGCGGUGGCUUACGUCUGUAAUCCCAGCACUCUCACGGGUGGUGCCUCCCCGGCAAUGGGGGUCCCAAGAUCCAGGGGGGGAAAAGGGGAUGGCUCUCAGCCACCACAAAAUGGGGGGCCUUUAUGUUCAGGUUUUGCCCAAGAGUCAGCUUAUUUGCUUCUUGUACUAGCAGGGCAGUUGCUGCCAAGGCCUCAAACAGGGGAGCCAUCCUUCAGAAACCCUGUCUAGUUGUUCAGAGACGUAGGCCACCGGCCUCAGCCAGGGCCCCACAGUUUGGGUUAAAAGUCCAGCUGCCAUCUUUUCUCUCUCUAACGCAUACAAUGGAAAAGGCUUUGUCAGAUCGGGUAGCCCCAGGGCUGGGGCUGCCAGAAGUUUUUCCUUUAAGUCAUGAAAGACUUGCUGUUCUUGGAUCCCCAUUCCAAAGGUUCCGGUCCCCGCCCCCUUUGUGACCUCAUACAAAGGCUUGGCUAAUACUGCAAAGUUUGGGAUCCACAGUCUACAAAACCCCACAUCCCCUGAGAAUUCUCUCGCCUGCCUUAGGCACUUAGGCUCCGGGAGAUUGCAAAUAACCUGCUUUCUUUCUGUUCCCGGGCUGCGUUCGGACUCCUGUCAGAUAGUAAAUCCUAAGUAAGGUGGCGUCGGACCCCUGUCAGAGAGUAAAUCUCAAGUAAGGUACCUGCCAUCGGCAGAUUUGAGCUUUCUUCUUGGACACCUAAUACCCACAGUCCUCCAGGCUCCGGUAGACUGCAAAUGACCUGCUUUCUUUCUGUUCCCGGGCUGCGUUUGGACCCCUGUCGGAUAGUAAAUCCCAAGCUCCGGUAGACUGCAAAUGACCUGCUUUCUUUCUGUUCCCGGGCUGCGUUUGGACCCCUGUCGGACAGUAAAUCCCAAGUAAGGUACCUGCCCUCGGCAGAUUUGAGCUUUCUUCUUGGACACCUAAUACCCACAGUCCUCCAGGAAUGGAACAGAUAAGAAGAUACUGAAAUUGGACGGUGCUGCCGUGCGGCUGCCGCAGGACACCUUUAAUAUCCCUGUUUCUCAGGCUGUAGAUGAAGGGGUUCAGCAUGGAGGUGAUCACCGUGUACAUCACUGAGGCCACUGCAGCCUUUCUCGGGGAAGAUGACACAUCUGAACUGAGGUACCCUCCAAAGCCUGUUCCGUAAAAUCAGCAAACAACUGACAGGAUAACUUCAGGAAGUGGGUAUUAAUUCUCACGGUAUAAGUGAAGACAUUAAGCACCAGAGUUUAAGUAGCUUGAUCCACUGAAAGAGAUUCAACUGUGUGGAACCUAUGCCGUGGAGAAUUGCUUUCUGCCAUUGUUAUCGUCCAGCAGUUGCCGAAUAGCUCUGACCUGAGCAAAGCAGUGAAACGCGGUGCUGUUGAGUGGGUUGCCACUGCACCUUUUUCAACUACUCUAGUCUUGUGGAGAAAAUACCCCUUCUAAAUUUUUUCUUCAUUGAAUACUCUCCCUCAGCUCCAGAGUACCAUAUAGAGUUUUCUUGUAUUUUAGAGUUACUGUUUUAUCAAAGUUUACCAGUCUUUUGUAUUACAUUUCUCCUGUCUAAAUCGACUGUGUGGUUUCUACUCAUUAU
rnacentral:lncRNA from 1 species